rnacentral:rRNA from 1 species
GUCAGCAGCGAUAGUACGUUGAAUACAUCAGUCCCCCCAUGAACCACUGAAGUUAAGCUACGUUGCGCGUUGGUUGGUAUCCGGAUGAGUGAGGAGCAUCUAGGCAAUCGCGUGCUGCUGGCA